GAUUUGCAUCUCAGGAUCAGGGUUGCAGAUAAGAAGGGUUGGUGGGCUCAGGCCUGGCUGUGGGGCUCAGGAAGCAGAAGUGUGGGUGUAUCCAGCAUGGCCUGGACUCUGCUGCUCCUCACCCUUCUUGCUCCCUGCCCAGGGUCGUGGGCCAGCGUUGUGUUCACGCAGCCCCAGGCUGUGUCGGGGUCUCUCGGGGAGACGGUCUCUAUUUCCUGCACCCGCAGUAGUGGCAACAUUGGGGCCAACUAUGUGUACUGGUACCAGCAGCACCAGGGACAUGCUCCCUCCCAGCUCAUCUAUCAGUAUGACAAACGACCUUCAGGGGUUCCUGAUUGGUUCUCUGACUCCAAAGACAGCGCCUCCAACUCUGCCUCCCUGACCAUCGCUGGGCUGCAGCCUGAGGACGAGGCUGACUAUUAUUGUCUGUCUGGUUAUGACAACUAUUAUCACACACAAAAACCACCCCUCAGAAGGCGGGCCUCAGAGCCGCCACCCUCCACCAACGUAGACAACGAGAGAGAGUUGGGGGUCGCUGGGGAGAAGGCGAGGAACCUAGAGGGAUCCUCUCCUCCCUUAGGCCCCAGCUGUGAGUACAGCACCUGGUUCCUUAGUAGGCGCCUCAGCUUCGUGCUCCCUGGAGCACAGCUGAGUCGUCCUCCCCAGUCCCUGGGGAUUCUAGAUCAGAAGGUUCACAUUGCCCACAAACACAACUCCGAGGUUCAGUGA